GAUGAACGCUGGCGGCGUGCUUAACACAUGCAAGUCGAACGAUGAACCGGGUGCUUGCACUCGGGGAUUAGUGGCGAACGGGUGAGUAACACGUGAGCAACCUGCCCCUGACUCUGGGAUAAGCGCUGGAAACGGCGUCUAAUACUGGAUAUGUCCCGUCACCGCAUGGUGUGCGGGUGGAAAGAUUUUUCGGUUGGGGAUGGGCUCGCGGCCUUGCAGCUUGUUGGUGAGGUAAUGGCUCACCAAGGCGUCGACGGGUAGCCGGCCUGAGAGGGUGACCGGCCACACUGGGACUGAGACACGGCCCAGACUCCUACGGGAGGCAGCAGUGGGGAAUAUUGCACAAUGGGCGGAAGCCUGAUGCAGCAACGCCGCGUGAGGGAUGACGGCCUUCGGGUUGUAAACCUCUUUUAGCAGGGAAGAAGCGAGAGUGACGGUACCUGCAGAAAAAGCACCGGCUAACUACGUGCCAGCAGCCGCCGUAA
rnacentral:rRNA from 1 species